GUUUUCAGGUGAACUUUCUUUGAGUGGAAAAGCGACGUAAGAAAAUUACAUUGAAACUUUGUUGCUUCAGCCAGCUUUCUCGCAGCCGCACCGUCAAAUGAGGGCACUCAACCGCGGGUACUUGCACGGGCUAUUCCUUCCUUCCAACGAGAAAACAACCGAUGAAACGGCGCAAGUCAAGUCGAUCACGGCGGCACCGACAAUAGAGACGUAAAAAAAUCGAGUGGAGUGACUUAGCUUCGGAGGAGGAGCGAAUGAACAGCGGAACGUGUCAACGAGUCGUUUCGGGUCUGAUUUUCGUCGGAUUGUUUCCUCCGUGUUUGGAUACCUGCACUCGUCGCUUCGAAAAGAUUCAGCCCUUUUUAAAUAGGGUUUAUUAUGAACUCUCCUGCCUACCUCCGGUUCUGGCAUAAUUCAACCAACGUAAGUUAACGCUUUCAUUUGCAUGUUUUUAAUUACUUGUAAUUUAAUU
rnacentral:lncRNA from 1 species